ACUCCAGCUUGACUGUAGUGUAGAAAGAAGAGUUAUUAGUGUCCUGGACAAGAAGCUCAGGACAUUUACCAGGUCUGAUCUUCUCAUUUUCUCUGGCAGGUAGUCAGAGCAGCUGGAUACAGGCUCCCACAGCCAGACACCUGCAUCACCAGGCUCACCGGGGCCUGCCACCCUCCUCACUGAGGACACCCAGGAUGAUGUUCUCCAGCCCUGUCUGCACCCCUAGCUGUGACCAGCCCCGAACCUUGGCCUGCCAAAGCAGGAGACCCUCACAAGUUCUGCACCUAAUGGAAGAAUCUUUCCAUUGUUUUCCUGCCUGAAGGACAAGAAUGUUUUCAGGUUCCUCCAGGAGCAGCCAGUUGCAAAUAGCUCAGGCCACCUCUUUCUCCAUGCAGUAAUCUAGCAGAUCUUCAACUUUUUCAGCAGAGAGGGAUGAUAAUCCUCAUUGGACUGAUCAGCAGCUAGAAUUGUUGGAGACCUGUUUGGUGCAGAAAAUGAGAUGGAAAGACUUUCUGAGCAAUGAGGACUCCAGCCAGACUUUGAAGAACUCCUUCCAAAGUACCAGCCUCAGGGAAUUCCCUGGUGCUCCAGUGGUUUGGACUCGGCGCCUUCACUGCUGUGCCUCGGAUUCAGUCCCUGAUCCCACAAGCUGCUGGACGUGGCCAAAAACAACAAAAAAGGACAAAAAAAAAAAAACCCAAAAUAAACACAAAGUACCAGGGUCGAUCUGAGAAGCAAAGUUCACAACUGCUGUGCCUGGGACAUUGUCAUACUGGAAGUUAAGACAUGAAAAUCAGUAAAUGCUUUCUUUGUAUUAAUAAGCUCAUCAGAAAACUCAGGAAGUUGAAAAGGAGACUUAAGCUUCCACAGUAUGUCUCAUCUACAGUCCUCCCUCAGUACCCGAAGGGGAGAGGUUCCCGGACCUCCACGGAUACCUUGGAUCUUCAAGUUCCUUAUAUAAGCUGGAAUCAUUCUGAAGAACUAAGCCUUCUGGAAUUGUCCCUCUGGUGUCACAGAGGUUUUGCACCCUGAGGCAGUGCGCCAGGCUGAGGCUUGGAAUGGGUAAUCUACAGAAAUACUACUCUUGACAAGUGGGAAAAAAAUUAAAUAUGGAUUUUUAUCUGGUUUUAAAAUGGAAUGUUUUUCUUAAUGCACAUGCAUUUGAUAAUUAGGAAAAAAGCACCUUACAUAUUAUUUUCUAAUACAUACAGAUUUUAGAAAACUUGGAGAAAGCCAUAAUGAAAGUAGUGUGUGCCUUUGGAAACUGAACUUACUUCCUUUUAUCAUCCAGAUUUUAGCUUAAGUUCUGACAUAUUUGCAAAGUAUUUGACAAAUGUCUGUACAUAUAUAAAUUCAUAAUAUACCUAGUAUUAACAUGUUACUUUUGACAUGUGGAAUCACUGAUAAUUUACACCCUCUGUUCACUUUCAUUUUCCUGUACUUACUGUAAUAGGAAUUAUUUUUAUAAUCAGGAAACUUAACAAAAGCUUAUUUUUGAAACUAUCAGAAAAACUAAAACAAGAAAUAAAAUGUUAACAGAAUGCUUUACAUGCUUGCAGCUUUU